AGUUCGGAUUNAAGGCUGAAAUUCGCCUUCAUGAAGCUGGAAUUGCUAGUAAUGGCAGGUCAGCAUACUGCCGUGAAUACGUUCCCGGGCCUUGUACACACCGCCCGUCACACCAUGAGAGUUGGGAAUACCCGAAGCCUGUGAGCUAACUUUUAGAGGCAGCAGUCGAAGGUAGAAUCAAUGAUUGGGGUGAAGUCGUAACAAGGUAGC
rnacentral:rRNA from 1 species